CAGCCAUUAUUGUUAUUAUGGCUCAGAGGCACCUGGUAGCAGAUUUGAGACCUUCUUUCGGUUAACUGAUUAUUCGUAAUGUUACCUGACAGUGACAAUUUAGAAAAAAAUGAGUAGGAUUGUCCAUUAAAAAUCAAAGAACAUCCUAGUCUUCAACAAAUUUCAGUAAAUUUAACCAAAUCGUCAUCGAAAGACAAUAUGCUUUCUAUUCGUUUCGUUGACAAUAUUUUUUGGGGUUUUUUCAGCUAUCUUAAGCAAGAUUUGUAUUGAAGGUCGAAAUAGUUUAUGAAUAAUUUUUUGACAAGAAGCUGCAAAAUGAUACUUUAACACACUUUAUGAUUAUCUGAAAUUCCAGUGAUCCACUAAGUUCACCAGCAAUGGCUGCUAGUCCUGACAAAAAUCCAGAAAACAAUGUAGAAAGGAACAUCAACAAUUUAUCAUUUCAGGAGACCACAAACCACAACAGGCUAAUAGGCUUUAACUAUAACAUCAAACUACCUUAAUAUCUGUAGUUUGAAGAUGCUUUGGGAACUAAUGCGGACGCUGGAAGCAGUCGAUUCUUUGGCAAAAUACCAAACAAAUUGAUGUAAACGGAGUUUUUUCGUCUGCAUGUUUGUACUAUAUUCACUUUUUUAUGGAAACACUGAAGCGAUCCAGGUGUAAACAUAUAACUUAACUUUUCCACCAUGACUGUGACUACAUUUAACUAUUACAAAGACUUACAUUUACAAAUCUAAAGAGAUGGGGCAGAAAAUCAGUUGAGCUGACUAUCUGAUUCUGAUAAAUACAUCUAAUGAGCACUUCCUUAA